AAACUANUUUAAUUUGGCGGCAUUUCAUCUAUUUAGAGGAAUUUGUCCUUUAAUCGAUAAUACACGUUAAAUUUCACUUUAAUUUACAAUUUAUAUACCGUCAUCUUAAGAAUUAAUUCAAAAAUAUUUCUCCUAAUAAAUUAUAAAAAGUUAGAUCAAGGUAUAAUCUACAUUAAAGAAUAAGAUGAAUUACAUUAAAUAAUAUUUAAAGAUUAUUAAUAUAUAUAUAAAUACAAAUAAGAAUUUAAAAGUAAUAUACAAACAAUAAUAUUAUAUGAUAAAGAUAAUAAAUGUGCACACAUCGCCC
rnacentral:rRNA from 1 species